AAAUUGAAGAGUUUGAUCAUGGCUCAGAUUGAACGCUGGCGGCAGGCCUAACACAUGCAAGUCGAACGGUAACAGGAAGAAGCUUGCUUCUUUGCUGAC
rnacentral:rRNA from 3 species